GAUGAACGCUGGCGGCGUGCCUAAUACAUGCAAGUCGAGCGAACAGACGAGGAGCUUGCUCCUCUGCCGUUAGCGGCGGACGGGUGAGUAACACGUGGAUAACCUACCUCUAAUACUGGGAUAACUUCGGGAAACCGGAGCUAAUAACGGAUCAUAUAUUGAACCGGAGGGUUCAAUAGAUCAACACGGUUUUGCUGUCACUUAUAGCUGAAUCCGCGCCGGAUUAGCUAGUUGGUAAGGUAACGGCUUACCAAGGCAACGAAGCGUAGCCGACCUGAGAGGAUGAUCGGCCACACUGGAACUGAGACACGGUCCAGACUCCUACGGGAGGCAGCAGUAGGGAAUCUUCCGCAAUGGGCGAAAGCCUGACGGAGCAACGCCGCGUGAGUGAUGAAGGCCUUCGGAUCGUAAAGCUCUGUUAUUAGGGAAGAACAAAUGUGUAUGUAACUAUGCACGCCUUGACGGUACCUAAUCAGAAAGCCACGGCUAACUACGUG
rnacentral:rRNA from 1 species